AUUGUGUGUCGUAUUCUGGGACUUUACAUGGAACAGUGACAUUAAAGGAUAUCAGUCUGGCCAACAACAGAACAGUCUUAACAGUGACUAUGAGUGGACUGAAGAUGGAGAACACUGACUGGUAUUGGUGUGAAGUGGGAGAACUAGAAAUGCCUGUUCACAUCAAUGUCAGUCAACAUACUGCAACACAAAUCAUCACUGCUAUCACAAACCAAGCUGAGGGGAACAUGGAGGAAGUCCACCAGAGGUCCAUAGAUGUGAAAGUCCUACUGAUUCCUUGGGGCAUGUUGGUGGUGGUGACAGCUGGUAUC